GGUCGGUUAGCUCAGCUGGUAGAGCAUCGCAAUUACAGUAACCCAAUGUUCUGGGAUGAUGAUCACUGCGAAGGCCAUAGGUUCAAGCCCUAUACUGACCA